UCAGGAAUGGGGACAGAGGGGUGCUGUCCUUCUUGAUGUUAACAGUUCAGAGGGAGGGCUCCCUGGUUGUUAAGAAAGACAUUCUUGGACCUCAAAGCUGGCAAAAGACCUAUCUAGUUUUCACAAAGGACUUAUAUACAUUUCAAAGAGGGCAGAAAGCCUCUGAAAUCACAAAUUUCCUAAAGUAAAUGCUGUAAGUAAAAGGAUGGGAAGGGACUUUCUUCCUCUAUUUUCAACAGGGACAAUAAACUUCUUACCUUUUUUUUUGCCCUUACAGUGGACUUUGGUUGUGUUUUGUCCCAUGGGUGUUGUUCAGCUGGCUGUUGGCUGAUUGAUCUAGGAGAGUUUUAGCUGGAAAGGCUUUGCUAGACUGAGCAUGUCCUUCCUGUGUCAGAGGCCAAGGCAAAGGCACAAGCAGUUUCUAGCCUCUGCUAGUCACAUUCCCUGAACUCUCAGUGGCUGAGUCAAGGUGCAUGAUGGAACCCAGAGGCAGAGUGUGAAGGCACUAAAAAUAUGUGGCAGAAGCUGAGAUAGAUGUAAAGGAGGCUGAAGGAUUAGGGAUAUGUUCAUCGUCAGACUAUCACAGAUGGGGCCAAAUAUGAAUUAGUUCAGGAUUUGAGUUUGAAACAUCUGUGAGGAAUUCUGGCAGAGCUAACCCCCAGGGAUGUGGAUAUUAGGGAGAUAGCUCAGGAAGUAGGUAGGGUUUUCGAUGGUGGAAGCAGAUGCCCCGGAGCGUGUGUGAGGUGAGAAGAGCAGAGAAGGAUGUAACCUGGGACCAAAUUCCUCUUUCUGUCACUAGGGGUAAUGGACAUGCCACUCUCAUGGUUGGAGAGAAGAGCCCUGCCGUCUGUGCCCAAUGCAGGACCCCAUGCUCCUUCCUUCUGUUCUCUAUGGCAGGGCCACUGCUUUGCUCCCUAGGGAGCCCCCAGAAUGCAUGCUGCCCCUGGAGUUAUGCACAGGAAGACGCUGAUGGCAUCCCCGGGUUCUGGAAGGCCUCCCUGUGCUCUCCACCUUCUCUCUUGCAGGCGUGGGCUUUGUCCCCAAAGUACACGUCACUGGGCCAGAGAGGGACAGGGUUUCAGUGCACAGCCUUGGAGUGGCUCCCAAAGCCCCACGUGCAGUGGAGGUCCCUCAGUAGGGAGAAGUUCCUGGCAUUCUCGGAGACCCAUGCCCAAGAUGCUAAAGCGGUGUUCAGUGUGGAGGCUGCCUGGUGGUGAGUGACAGGUCUCCAGGCAAUACGACCUGCUCAGUGCUUAGCCUCAUCUGACCUGCCCACCAUAUUGCCAGCUGUUUUGCCUUCAAUGCAACUAGUUCUCAGUCAGCACCUGGAAGCCACAAACCAGGUAUACUUAUGUUGAAACCUUGCCGUUGUACUUCACCAUUCUGCUCUUUGCAGCUUCAUUCCCCCUUUCUGCUUUUUGUUUUAAUUAUUUUUAGUUAUGCCAUUUUCUCCUCUGUUGGCUUUAACAAUAUCUAGAUCAUGUUUCUUGAUUUCUCUAUUAAUUAUAGUAUUUUUAUUAUUUGUUGGCUACCCUUGAGAUUCAGCUUUAUUUCUUUCCUUUUUUUUCUUUUUCUUUUCUUUCUUUCUUUUUUUUUUUUUUGUAAAUUAAACUGGGUCCUGAGCUCCACCAGGAGAGGGUCCAAUGAAUCUGUGCUGAGCUGACAUUAAUAUUUUCUUCAGCAGGCCAGGAAGGAGUCAGUCCUGCACAAAUCUGAACAUAUGCAGCCUGGCAAAGGGCACAGGAGUGCAGAUGCUGGGAGGCAGAAGUUGGUGUUGUCAGAGUGGAGGUUAGAAAGGAGGCUAGGAAGGCUGGAGAGAGUUGGGGAGGAGAGCAGAGAGGGAGAAGGAGGAGGGCCAGGGCCUGGGGCAGGAUGACAUUUUCAGCACUCUGCUACUAGUGCUGUAUGACCUUAUUUCCCCACACUUAGUGGCUUGACCUACAAACACUUACUGUCUCACAGUCCCAGGGAACCAGGAAUCCAGCAGCACUCAGCUGGGGGCUCCUACCAGAGUCUCUCAGGAGUUUGGGGCUGUUGUCAGCACCGAGGCAGGACUUGCUUCACUCAGAACCUGAGCUCACUUAGGGGUGUUAGCAGGGUUCAGUCGACAUCAAAGGCCUGAGUUCUUCUCUUCUGUUGUUGUCUCUCAGUGCUAGACCACAUGCAUGUGUCUGUGUCAUGACUCAACAUAGAGGCCUGUUCCCCAGUGUGAGGAUCUGAGAGAGAACACAGGUCAGAGUGAGCACGUGGCUGGGCACUGAGAUUUUAUAACCAAACCUUGGAAGGGGCUUUGGGUCCUGUUGCCAUCUUCUGUAGAAUAGAAGUGAAUCACUAAGUCUAGGCCACACUCCAGAGGAGGGAGUUCCACAAGGACAUGUAUACAGGAGGUGGGGAUCUCAAGGAGCCACUGAGGGGAAAAGAUGAGGACCCUGACAGGGUCAGUGCCUUUUCCAGAAUCACAGGGACUGGUCAAAAGGCAGAACCAAGCAUGAAUCUAGCUCCAUGUCCUUAAAGUUGGGGUUCUGGCUGCACCCAGGCUUUCUGAGGGGGCUCUGGAAAAGGUUGUGUUAUUGUACCUGUACAGACAUGGAGAUGGUGUGGGGGUGAGGGUGAACAGGAGGGUGACAGGAGGCAUUCCAACACAUUCUUGUCUGAGGAGGACCCCAGGUCAGGGCAACACACUGAGUGCACCCCUGUCCACAUUGCACCCAGUGGAGAGGGAGAGAAUGGCAGAGCCUAGAGGUAAGGGUGGGUUCUGACCUUCUAGGCCAAAGCUCCAAUCCAUUCUGUCUGGUUUGCUUUGGAAAUUAGCCUAUGAUCUUGGGAAGCUUUUGCCCAUCCUUCCCAUCUUCUGGGCCUCCAGAAUGUGAACACUGGUACACACACACACACACACACACACACACCCCAGUAAGGACGGUGGGGUGGGAUCUGAGGAGCUGCAGGUUCAGAGGUGGUGAAGAGACAACGAAAAUAUGGCUGGAAGCACAUCCUAUGUGUGACACUACUCCUCCAAUUUCAUAGGUAUCAUCUGAAAUAUGCCUGAGGACAUCCCGAGGAAGUACAUGCUAGAAUAAUCUCCAUUGCACAGGAAGGACACAGACCAUCCCUAAGAGGCAUAAUGGCUUAUCCAGGGUCAAAAUCAGGUAAGAAUGAAGAUUUGGGUCUGAACCUAGAUGUGUCUCAAAGGUGGGACCCGGAUGCACCCAGACCUUCCCAGGGGACUGUAGAGAGUAGUGCAUUGGUGUAACUGUGUACAGAUGAGACAUAUCAUGGAGAAAGGGGGUGAGAAGCCAGCAGCCCAGGGCUCUAUUUGCAUAGGUGUUAUCCCUGGAGGGGACUCGGGUAGGUGAUCCUAGGCAGUGAAGUUACUGCCUUGACAACAGACCCCAAGAGAACUUGGAAUCCCCAUAACCAGGCACCCAAAUUCUAGUAUAGUCCCACACCAGGCUCACUUGGCUGGAGACACUUGAUAGUAAAAAAUGUUUUCUUGCUGUUCUUUCUUUCUGGAGCUCUGGCUUCCAGAGACCCCAGUGGGGAAGAUGUUUCAGAUGCUGUGGAUGUUGGCUCAACCCUUGCUCCCAAUGCCUCAGGCUGUUUUUCUGAAGGCCCCGUAAAGUAGUAAUACAGAGCAGCCUAGGGAAGGCCAGUUCAGCUCAGGCCACCUGUUUGAGCCAUCCCUGGGCAGCCCCAUUCCCUCCUCUUCAGUUUCAGGGAAAGAGGGACAUGUGAGGAGGUCCUGCCCGGGGCUAGAGAAGGUUGGAGGGCAGUGGAUAACCUGGUGACCCCAUCAUGUCCACACCAAUGUCAUGGUGGGUAGGGUGGAAAAGGGAUUCCUGAGGUGCUUCUUUCCUGUGCAAGGGUUAAUCCAAGGUCCUUGCGCAUGUAUCUUUUUCCUCCUUGGUGGAAGUCUGUGCACACUGUGGUGUAGUGUGUCUGGAAUGGAGUCACAUGGGUCUGAGGGCCAGUAAAGGCAGCCAGUCAGGACUCUGAGGCCUCCUGCCUAUCUGCUGCACUGUCUUUACAGAACUGCACACCAGAGAUGGGGCAGGAGUUGAGUGAUGAGAUCCUCUGCUCAACUUCCGUGAAGGACAGGAAUAUGCCCCACAACACCAACAGGAUGCAGCACCGAACCGGCUCAGGGGGAGUGCAGAUACCAGGGAGACCCAACACCCAGGGCCCAGAUGCAGCAACAAGAUCCCAGGGCCCAGAAGCCACACUGCUAGUCCCCUGAGCCCCCUUGUAGACUUCUGCUCCCAGAUGAAUCUGGAUCCCCAAAUCCUGCUCAAAUUUGCCUUCACGGCCCAGCCCCUGCCAUGGCCAGAUGCAAAGUCACUGUCCACUUAUUUGUAGGAAUAUCAGAAAAGAGACCUGAAGUCAUUUCACAUCCCAUCUGGUCUAGAGUAUUUUUUCACUGUUGUAUGUAUUUUCCUAACUCCUGUUCUCAGGUGUCCCUGUUGGCCUGACCAUCCUUGCACAACUUCUCC
rnacentral:lncRNA from 1 species